CAACCUGCCGUCUACUCUUGGACAGCCUUCUGAAAGGAAGAUUAAUACAAGAUGGCAUCAUGAGUCCGCAUGUUCACAUGAUUAAAGGUAUUCCGGUAGACGAUGGGGAUGCGUUCCAUUAGAUAGUAGGCGGGGUAACGGCCCACCAAAGCGACGAUGGAUAGGGGUUCUGAGAGGAAGGUCCCCCACAUUGGAACUGAGACACGGUCCAA
rnacentral:rRNA from 1 species